AAGAAUUAAUGAGGGAUCCCCUCUGGUAUUUCCUAUUAUCUCACAACCCUCCCCACUGGGUCAGGAGACCAUGGACCCUACAAUCUUCAAGAGAGAGGUGUCACAUUAGCAUCGGAGGGCAAAGAAAUCAGACUCAUAACCCAAGGUUAAGGCUGAAGACGAAGACUUAGAAGCACACGUGACAGUUUCAGGCAGGUUUUGCUGCCCCAGAGGAAAAUUCUCUAGUCUUGGACAGGAAGAGAAAAAUUGGACAGGAAUAUAAAGAGUGACAAGGCCUGUGGUUUUCAGAAGGCCAUGAGGCAGCCUCCCAGCACUUCUUGGGAUUCCAGACUAAGGUUGGAGGGCGCCCAUUCCUCCCCUGCCCGCUGCAUGUGAGAAGAGCAGGCAAGUCACUGACAGCAGGAGCCGGGCUGGGAGAGGCCCAAAGGUCAGGAGUGAAGGGCGCUGCAGACACAACCCACGUGUUGUGACAGCCAAGAAUCAGAUGCAUGAUGCACUACUUUCAAGGACACCGGCAUGGACACGUCACAACUGAGGACCAGACACUCCCACCCCCAUCUCCCACUGCCUGUGAAUCCUGCCCCCAGAACUUAGAAACGACCUUCGGGGAAGGGGAAAUCUCAACUUGACUGAGUGAAGAGUGGCAUAAAAACAUGAAAUAUGGAUAAACCUCAGAAGAAGCAAAC
rnacentral:lncRNA from 10 species